AAGGUUAGACUGCAGCAAGCCACACUGGUCAGAGUAAAGAAAUGGCGGCUGCUCUGAAAAUAUAAAUGGUCUCAAGCCAUUUGAGUCGGUGUCUAACUUUAAAACUGAAGCAGUUGAUUUAUUAGUAUCUGUUAAAAUCUGGAUGAAGUGGGGUAUGUGCCUAGGGAUAUCUUAAUUUUGCAGUGGACUCUGGCGAGCACCAUGUGGCCAGCAAGGAGCCGCCACCCCGGUUUGCAGAACAAGUAAAAGCAUGCUGUACUGUUGAUUUGAUUCAGAUGCUUUCAGCAUGGCACAGAACUCCUUCUCCAUUAGCUUUCAGGGUGUUGUUAUUUUCUGUAAAUCUUAAUUUGCAAGCUUCUAUAUUCUGCCCUGCAAAUGUGCAGAGACCACCAUCUUGUUCUUGAGUGCCCUGUUUUCUUUCAGGCGGAAGGAAUCACUCAGUAUUGGGGAAUUGGAGAGGAUAUGUUGCAGAUAGCAUCUCUUUGGAGUGUGGCUGGUGAAUACUGUUGCAGAAACGAAGUGUGGCCUUUUCCUCAGCAAACCUCCCAGUCACUCUUGUGAGCUGGACCAAAGGCUUAGCAAGUCAAGGCCAUGCUUUCUUUAAAGGGUUUCACCAGUAAUUCUAUGAAGACUGAACCAUAAGGAGGAAGAUCUGUUGAUUUUGCAGAAUGGAUUGGCAUUGAGUCACCAAACAGAUUCUCCAGAAUGGAUUGGCAUUGAGUCACCAAACAGGAUUUGGGUGACUUGGAAGAGACCUUUGGAGUUAUGCUGCUGGUUUUGACCGUGGAAUUAAUAACCUGAGCACGAAUAGAAGAUGACUCUGCAAUAGCCAUUCACCUGUUGAGAGUAGAAAACUAUGGACAAUGGAAUGGUCUAAACUUCACAGCAGACUGAUCUAAAUUGGCAAGUCUAUUGGAUGAAGUAGUCUUCUGUCCACCUGAGGUAGCAGCUUGAACUGAGUUGCCUAAGGGCUUGAGAAGCUUAGAAGAGAUAUGUAUCGUCAAAUAAGGAAAAAUAAGCUGGAAUCCAUGCUGUUACAUUUAUGCUGUACCAUUGUAAAGAUUAAUAAAUCUUAGAAAUCUU